GGUUGAAAUGGUGCUUUUGGCUUAUGCCUCGUUAUUUAAAUAAUAGCUGGCCUAUCUUUGACGUUUUCGGGAUUCUACUCGUUUUACUAACACAAUUUUUGAUCUUUUCUGGUGGGCUUCUUGCAUGUUGGCUUAUACACCGUUAUCUUUUUAUCGGACCUAUUUUUUCCACCAUACUUUUUUCAACAUGCUUUUUUUUUAUGUUUUGCGCAUCACUUUCCCAUUUACAGUGCGUACUUAUUGAUCCAGGUUUCUGUAUAGUUUGUUUUUUAUAACCAAUAUUUUUGGCCUUCACUCCUUUUAAUUUAUACUUUAUUCAGCUUUUAUAAACAAAAAUUAAACCAGGCUCAGUUGCUACUGGCAAAGCUUCUUCUAGGACAUCAGAUUUACUUCGUUUUGAAACUAAAGGAAUUCCUAGCCUUUGCGAAGAGUGUCAGUGUUAUAAAACUGUUCAUGUACAUCAUUGCCGCAGAUGCGGGAAGUGCUUCGAAAAAAUGGAUCACCAUUGCCCGUGGAUCAAUAACUGUGUCGCACGAGAUAACUGCAAGUUUUUCCUUCAAUUCCUCUUUUACGUGUUUUGGCUAUGUGUUUUCUUUCUAUUUGUUCUUUGCCUGGCACUUUUUUAUAGUACAAAGAAUUCCCAACCCGUCAGUUCUCCUUUUUUUAAUCUGCUAAUCUUUGGGGGUUAUUUGGCUCUCGGCUUCGGUGCGGGAACCGCCUUCAUGUUUACGUCUCUCCUUCUGAGACUUUGCGCUAAUACAACGCUGAUUGACGCUCUACAAAGUAAAUCUUACACGAAAAGAUCCCUUAAUUUAACGCUUAAAGAAGUGUGUGGAGGCUCGCUAUCACUUUACUGGUUUAUUCCGUCGGCUCCCAAUAAGAGCGAGCCGAGUUUUAUAGACCUCUAAUAGUGACCACUUUG